rnacentral:rRNA from 1 species
GGGUCUUACCUUCUGGUGAGCUGUCGUAUUGUUUACUCAGUGCGGCAGGGAACCAGGACUUUUACUUUGAAAAAAUUAGAGUGUUUAAAGCAGGCAUUCGCUUGAAUACAUUAGCAUGGAAUAAUAGAAUAGGACUUUGGUUCUAUUUUGUUGGUUUCUAGGACCGAAGUAAUGAUUAAUAGGGAUAGUUGGGGGCAUUAGUAUUUAAUUGCCAGAGGUGAAAUUCUUGGAUUUAUUAAAGACUAACUUCUGCGAAAGCAUUUGCCAAGGAUGUUUUCAUUAAUCAAGAACGACAAGUUAGGGGAUCGAAGACGAUCAGAUACCGUCGUAGUCUUAACCAUAAACUAUGCCGACUAGGGAUCAGGCAAGGCAUAUUUUGCACUUGUUUGGCACCUUAUGAGAAAUCAAAGUUUUUGGGUUCCGGGGGGAGUAUGGUCGCAAGGCUGAAACUUAAAGG